ACGAACGCUGGCGGCAUGCCUAACACAUGCAAGUCGCACGCGACCUUCGGGUCUAGUGGCGCACGGGUGCGUAACGCGUGGGAACCUGCCCUUAGGUUCGGAAUAACUCCCCGAAAGGGGUGCUAAUACCGGAUAAUGUCUUCGGACCAAAGAUUUAUCGCCUUUGGAUGGGCCCGCGUUGGAUUAGCUAGUUGGUAGGGUAAAAGCCUACCAAGGCGACGAUCCAUAGCUGGUCUGAGAGGAUGAUCAGCCACACUGGGACUGAGACACGGCCCAGACUCCUACGGGAGGCAGCAGUGGGGAAUAUUGGACAAUGGGCGAAAGCCUGAUCCAGCAAUGCCGCGUGAGUGAUGAAGGCCUUAGGGUUGUAAAGCUCUUUUACCCGGGAUGAUAAUGACAGUACCGGGAGAAUAAGCUCCGGCUAACUCCGUG
rnacentral:rRNA from 1 species